rnacentral:tRNA from 1 species
GAGGGUGUAGCUCAGUGGUAGAGCGUGUGCUUAGCAUGCACGAGGUCUUGGGUUCAAUCCCCAGUACCUCCA